rnacentral:rRNA from 1 species
AGUAAUGGCAGGUCAGCAUACUGCCGUGAAUACGUUCCCGGGCCUUGUACACACCGCCCGUCACACCAUGAGAGUUAGGAAUACCCGAAGCCUGUGAGCCAACUUUUAAAGAGGCAGCAGUCGAAGGUAGAACUAAUGAUUGGGGUGAAGUCGUAACAAGGUAUC